rnacentral:rRNA from 1 species
AUGAACGCUAGCGACAGGCUUAACACAUGCAAGUCGAGGGGCAGCACAGGUAGCAAUACCGGGUGGCGACCGGCGCACGGGUGAGUAACGCGUAUGCAACUUACCUAUCAGAGGGGGAUAACCCGGCGAAAGUCGGACUAAUACCGCAUGAAGCAGGGGCCCCGCAUGGGGAUAUUUGCUAAAGAUUUAUCGCUGAUAGAUAGGCAUGCGUUCCAUUAGGCAGUUGGCGGGGUAACGGCCCACCAAACCGACGAUGGAUAGGGGUUCUGAGAGGAAGGUCCCCCACAUUGGUACUGAGACACGGACCAAACUCCUACGGGAGGCAGCAGUGAGGAAUAUUGGUCAAUGGGCGCGAGCCUGAACCAGCCAAGUCGCGUGAGGGAUGAAGGUUCUAUGGAUCGUAAACCUCUUUUAUAAGGGAAUAAAGUGCGGGACGUGUCCCGUUUUGUAUGUACCUUAUGAAUAAGGAUCGGCUAACUCCGUGCCAGCAGCCGCGGUAAUACGGAGGAUCCGAGCGUUAUCCGGAUUUAUUGGGUUUAAAGGGUGCGUAGGCGGCCUUUUAAGUCAGCGGUGAAAGUCUGUGGCUCAACCAUAGAAUUGCCGUUGAAACUGGGGGGCUUGAGUAUGUUUGAGGCAGGCGGAAUGCGUGGUGUAGCGGUGAAAUGCUUAGAUAUCACGCAGAACCCCGAUUGCGAAGGCAGCCUGCCAAGCCAUGACUGACGCUGAUGCACGAAAGCGUGGGGAUCAAACAGGAUUAGAUACCCUGGUAGUCCACGCAGUAAACGAUGAUCACUAGCUGUUUGCGAUACAGUGUAAGCGGCACAGCGAAAGCGUUAAGUGAUCCACCUGGGGAGUACGCCGGCAACGGUGAAACUCAAAGGAAUUGACGGGGGCCCGCACAAGCGGAGGAACAUGUGGUUUAAUUCGAUGAUGCGCGAGGAACCUUACCCGGGUUUGAACGCAUUCGGACCGAGGUGGAAACACCUUUUCUAGCAAUAGCCGUUUGCGAGGUGCUGCAUGGUUGUCGUCAGCUCGUGCCGUGAGGUGUCGGCUUAAGUGCCAUAACGAGCGCAACCCUUGCCACUAGUUACUAACAGGUAAAGCUGAGGACUCUGGUGGGACUGCCAGCGUAAGCUGCGAGGAAGGCGGGGAUGACGUCAAAUCAGCACGGCCCUUACAUCCGGGGCGACACACGUGUUACAAUGGCGUGGACAAAGGGAAGCCACCUGGCGACAGGGAGCGAAUCCCCAAACCACGUCUCAGUUCGGAUCGGAGUCUGCAACCCGACUCCGUGAAGCUGGAUUCGCUAGUAAUCGCGCAUCAGCCAUGGCGCGGUGAAUACGUUCCCGGGCCUUGUACACACCGCCCGUCAAGCCAUGGGAGCCGGGGGUACCUGAAGUCCGUAACCGAAAGGAUCGGCCUAGGGUAAAACUGGUGACUGGGGCU